rnacentral:piRNA from 1 species
UNCAAGGCUUGCCAGAGCUGGCCAACUAUGC